CCUACGGGUGGCAGCAGUGGGGAAUAUUGCACAAUGGGGGAAACCCUGAUGCAGCGACGCCGCGUGAGUGAAGAAGUACUUCUUUACGUAAAGCUCUAUCAGCAGGGAAGAAAUACUGACCUUACGGUCAUCAGCCGGUACCUGAGUAAGAAGCCCCUGCUAACUACGUGCCAGCAGCCGCGGUAAAAGGUAGGGGGCAAGCGUUUUCUGGAUUUACUGGGGGUAAAGGGGGCGUGGAGGGUGGGCCAAGUUGGGGGUGAAAGGCCGCAGCUUAAUGGCGGAACUGCUUUGGAAACUGGCGGACUAGAGUGCGGGAGGGGUAAGCGGAAUUCCUGGUGUAGCGGUGAAAUGCGUAGAUAUUAGGAGGAACACCGGUGGCGAAGGCGGCUUACUGGACCGUAACUGACGUUGAGGCUCGAAAGCGUGGGGAGCAAACAGGAUUAGAUACCAUAGUAGUC
rnacentral:rRNA from 1 species